AGAACAUAAUCUUGAUGUCCUUGAGCCGGCUUGCUGGGACGCUCAGUACUGCGGAUCCCACCUACCACAGGCAGAGCAGACCACGUAACAGCCCCAUGCUGUCUGCAUGAUUUACAGAAGACUCUUCCUCAGAAAGUAGUUCACCGCCCACCAGAGGUAGUGGGAAAGAAAGGACGGGAGCAGGGAAUUGGACCUGUUUAGAAAGAUUCUUUGGAGCAACUCCCGUCUGUGCUGUCUGGAAAUCAGCAGUUUGGUUCACAGGUCGGCAGGCGGCGGCUCAAUCAACUGGCAAACACCUCACGGAUGCACCAACAGUCUAGUUUGAUAGUCAGGUUAGCAACAGCAGUGACAGGACCUAGCAGAGACAGCCAGGCCUCAGCCUCUGCUCCAGUCAGCAGCAGGGACAGUAGGAGAAGCUCUCAGCUGUGCCUCUCUCAGGGAAGUGAAGAUCAGGGAAGAGGAGACCCACAAGCAUUGCACAGCCAGCUGUAGCAGCAAGAUAAGCUCAGCCACUCCGUGGAGUCCUAAUUAUCUACUGCAAACAUCACGUGUCCUCCACGUGCCUCACCCCAGCACGUGCAUCCAAUCAGCCCGAGUCCUCGGAAUCGGGAACAACUGCAGCACAGCAUCGGAAGGUUCUAUGGAGUUCUGACAAAUGCAGCUCAGCUACACAUGUAAGGAGGACCAAUACGUGGAUGUCGUUAGCAAAGAAUCCUUCACCACGUGUCCUUUCACCAGCUUGAUUUGCAGAACCUCCUCUCUCCUGUGCCUGCUUCAGUGAAACGUUCCCUCACGAGUCUGCCUUAGCCUUUCACCUGUGUCCACUCUAAUGAAAAGUUCCUUCACGUAUUUGCCCAGCAAAACACCACCCAACCAACUUUCCAAAGAACCCUUAAGUUUCUACCUCAGGCUCCCUCACCAACAGCUCAUGGGGAGGUAUCCCUCACUUGGGAUGAGAAUUUUUUACUGAGAACCAUUGACUUCUGGGAGCAGUGCUGACCACUCAUUCAGAGUACUUUCUAAUACUAAUAUCUCCUUAAAAAAAAUUAAAGUUAGCUUAUAAUGGA